UUCCUCUCUCCUCUCUCGUCUGCAUCCCUCUCUCUCUCCCCGUCCCCUAUCCUUCUCUUCUUCUUCCCUCUGCAACCACCGGAGAACACCAUCUCCGGCCACCACACAACGUCACCGCCACCACCAAUUGACGCAUCACCUAAACCCGACCAAAACCCGAGGCUCGCCGGAAACGGUAGCUGUGCAUGUCUUCGUUUUUCAGCCUCUAGUUCGAAACGAGCAAAGUCACCUCCAAGGAUAGAAUCAGCAACCUCACAAUCCUCCAAAGCCCCCUAGUUCUGACCUCCGAUUCCGACCAGAGCCAUCGCACGCGGUACACGCGUCGCCGCUAGCGCGUGAGCCACCACAGCUCCGCCUCUCAUGGAUGCCUCCAGAUAGUUUCGAUUAGGUUUACGGAUUUCUGCAUUUUUGGAGUUUUGGAAAGGAGGAAGCUAUUGCGUCGGUUUUGAUUGAGACCGAAAAAAGGUAAGGAGUACUCACAAGUUCUGUUUUGAAUAUAAGUAUUGGUGAAGAGAUAGGUUGUUAAUUUUGUUAUGAUCGAUAAGUGUUAAAACUGUUGUCGACGGUGGAUUGUAACAGCGACGACUUAAUUUCUAAUCUGGAAAAGAAGAAUGGUAAGAGCCUAAUUAUUCUGAAUUGUGAAAUUGAUGGUGUUCUGUUUCUGAUUGUUGUAAAUGGAUUUGUUGGAGUUAUUUUAGAAAGUGAAGUUGUUAAAAUCAGCAGAAAAUUGUCUGUUGCCUCAUGAAUGGAAAAGAGUGAAAAUGGUGAUAUGGUGGUUUAAAGGUUUGGUAUGGCAUCUAUGGUGACUUUGUGAUUACUAAAGAUGUUUGUGAUCUGUUUGUGUUUAAUCAAGGAGAUGAAAUUGUUAUAAUUGUGGAUUUGUCGUAAAUACAAGGUAGGCAAAGAAUGGUUAAUUUGGUGACCUUUAUGCAGUUAAGUGAAAUUAGGACAUUCGAUCUCAAUAAAUGAAGUAAAUUACAAGUGAAGUACUUUAAAGCUACCAUAUCCCAAAAUCGUAAUCCAUUGGGAAUGGUAAUUGUGAUUUGUUUUCUUAAAGUAAAAAUGCUAAACAAAUGAAGGUGAAAGUGUCAAUUAUAAUCGCCAUAUCCUGAAUGAUUCAAAUGCUACGUCGAUCAUUUGGAUUAUUUGAGAAUGGAUAAUAGGUUUUAUCUAUUAAAGGAAGAUCUCUACAAACAUAAGUUCUAGAUCACUGUUCCAUUAAAGAAUAAUUUGAUGGGCUUUAAGGGAAUUAAGUGAGUGAUUUAGGUGCUCGGUUAAUUAAGUUAAUGAUGUUAAGUUACUCAUUGGUUAAUUUUAUUAUAAAUGACUCGUGCGUGUGCAUUUGGAACUGGACAAAGUAUUGAAAGUCAAGAACGAAUCUAAUUGUGGACUCCAUAUCCAGGUAGGGUGAGCUGUCCCUUCCUUGUUAAAGACUUUUCUAUAUGUGGAAUGCUCUAGUAUAAUAAUAUAUUUCUUGCAAGUACGUUUUUGGUUGUUCAUUAGUUGAUGCCUCGAGAUAUCCGCGUUUCCAUAACUGAUCAUUGCUGAUUGCAAAAACUGAGGCUAGACUUGUAUGUUGAGAUAUUGUACCCCAUUGUAUGUAUGUACUUGUAACCUGAAAGUGAAUGGGACCUAGACGCGUUGAUUCCUAAACAUCCCACGGUGUCGAUAACCGUGAACCUUCGGAGGGGGCUCUGCUCCUAUGUGCGUAUAGAAAAGGUAAGUACCGACGGUGAACCAGUCAUAGGACACUCAAGGCCAGGAAAUGGACACUUUUGCUACUUGUAGUCACAGGCACUACAGAGUAGUUGGCCGGUUCUCGAAGGAUGUCGAACUGGGCUGGUCAACGAUUGUUUUAGAGUAGCCAGCAGGUAAGUAUCUCGAAGCUCUAAGUUGAGUGAAGCAUGCUGCAUAUGUUUUAUAAAAGAGAAUAAAUGUUUGUGGUUGGCUCUUUUUUUAAGUAUUUUCGAUAAACAUGCACAAUAUUAUGUAGUAGAUAUUUUCAAGUAUAUUAUUUUCAAACCUAGCAUCGUAGGGUCGGCCCUUACUGGGCAUGUGAGGAUGAAAGUUCACCCCUACAGCAGUGUGCAGGUUUCGAGCAUGUGGUUGGGGGAGCGCAUAAGGGAGGCACAUGGCCCGGCUUGGCGCAUUUCUCUUUGACUUUACCAACAAAAGGUUUUGGUCCUUUAUCGGAUUUUGAAGUCAUUUAUUUACUUUUUAUUUGUUUCCUACUCACUAUUUAAAAACUUCAAGAGGCCCGUAACCCUGGGGCGCGUCUCUCAUACUUGAAGUUCACUUAUUAUUUUCCAAAUUGGGCUCCUAUUGUAAGCUCAAAUCCUUUAGCCCACUUUAAAUUCUGCUUUUGAAAAUACGUUGUUCAGUUGCUAGAAUGAUUUGCCAAAUAAAAUGUUUUGUAAACUACCAAACUAAACCCAAAAGGCCUUGCGAUUUCGGGUUGAUGAGUCAUCGGGAUGUCAUUCAUGACAUGUUGGUUUCUCAUUGGCGGCGCUGUGGGACCCCUCUCUCGGGUCACCACAUAGAUUGAGACAAAAAUCCCACUACCUCCCCCAAAAAUGUAAACCAUGACGGGAAUAUCAAUUUUCAUACUUGAACAGGUGCUAGAAAUGGACGGAGUCGCCGAAAAAUGGUGAAAGACUGUAGGAGAUGUAUGAGAGUUUUGAGGCCCAACAUAUUGUCAUUGUUGAACGGAUGGACAAUCUAUUGGCAUGUGUAAACUGAUGCUAACACGGGCCACCACCGAAAAAGUUGCGGAUGGCGAAGAACGAUCGGGUCGAGUUUGGCUUGAAAAUGGUCCCUGACUUUCUAAUUUAAUCCCAAAAGUCCCUGAACUCAAAAUUAAUGGCAACUGGUCCUUUCCAUCUAUUUCAUCUGGUUGCUUGAUGAGGUGUCAGUUUUAUACUUGCCAACUCAGCGCCACGUAAGAGACUGAUUUUGUAAAGUGACGAAAAUGCCCCUGCUUCAGUUUCUUCCAAAAUUUCCUCCAAAAUGGAAAUGAUGGAGAAGCAUGGCAACCUUAGCACAUUUUCCUACUCCGGCUAGAAGAAAGCGAGCUAGACAAGGAAUGAGGAUCGACAGCCUGAUCAAACGAACUCCAAAUGAGUUGAAACUUUCCAGAUCGAUUCUAGACAUCCUAAGGAUCAUUUCUUAUGAAUAGUUUAAGAGUUAGUUUGGAGUGAAAAGCCUUCAAAAGAUUGGUCCAAGUUUCUGACUAAAAGACGAAAAGGGCAAAACCAGACCUGUACUGAUUCCGGCAACAUUUCCGGCCAAACUACGGUGAACUAAGCUCUGAAAUUUUACCAGAAUUAUCUACACUUAUCAAGAAACAUUUGAUAUGAAUAAGUCGAAGGCCAAUUCCAAAGUUUCGGUAAAGAUUCAAUUGAAUGAAGCUUCGGAAGCAGAAAAUGAAUCCUAGUUGAUCGAAUAAGGGUAACUUGGCCGAGAAUCCAUUUUGGACGGAUUUGUUAUGCAUUUUUGGAAGGUUAUGUUGCUGCAAUUCUCAAGGAUAGUUCUAGCAGAAUUCUACAAGAUUAUGACAAGAUUAAUCCAUCAUAUUAUCAUUUGGACAAUAAGCAUGGUGCAUAGGGUUCUCUCCAUCCUUGUCAUUGACUUUGGUGACUCAAAACCACCCCAACACUCUUCAAAUUCAUGAUUCCCAUGCACAAUAAAGAGAGCUAGCUGCUUCUCUCUUCUCCCUUCACUAUGUCACCAAAGCUAUCAGACGACAGAUUAUAUCUGUCGUCUAAUUCAGAAAAAUUCUGUUGUCUCCUGGCGUGAUGUCUCUUAGGCCUUCAGACGACAGAUAUUACCCGUGGUUUAUAUUUCACUCAAACAACAGAGGCUACCAAUAAUCUGUUGUCUGAUUAUGUCGAGGUAUGAUGAAUUAUGACUUUCUGUGGUUGAAGUAGUAACGAAACGACAUUUAUAUGUUCUUAUACAGAACCCUACACAACAUAUUUUCAUAAAAUUCUCUCGUAUGUAAUUAAUUGAGACGAUAGAAAUCUGUGGUGUGAAUACAACAAUCUUGACUAUUUUCUGUUGUCUGACUAUGUUUCAGACCACAAAAAUAUGUCGAUGUACAAUACUAACAAACAAUAGUUUGGAAAUUUUCUGUGGUUCUGAGUUUGCUUCAACGACAUUGGUUCGUAGGUUUUGUUGUGGUAAUUAACUUUGAGCAAUGAAUUUUGAAGUUUUCUGU